rnacentral:rRNA from 1 species
UAUUAUAUUUAGUAUUAUGAGUUUGCUGGGGUAGUAUUAUAAUUUUGUGAAACCCAAAGAAUUUGGCGGUGUUUUAGUCUUUUCAGAGGAAUCUGUCCUGUAAUUGAUAAUACACGAUUGGUUUUACUUAAUUUUGUUAUCAGUUUAUAUACCGCCGUCAUAAGAUUAUUUUUGUUAAGAAUUGAAAUUUUCUUGUUUUUGAAAUAAAUGUGAUGUCAGGUCAAGGUGUAGCUUAUGAUUAAGUGGAGAUGGAUUACAAUAGUAUUAAUUAUUACGGAUAAUUAAUUUUAAUUUGAUUUGAAGGUGGAUUUGAUUGUAAAUUUAUUUUUAAUUUUUAUAUUGAUUGGAGCUCUAGAAUGUGUACAUAUCGCCCGUCGCUCUCGUUAUUAAAGUGAG